rnacentral:rRNA from 1 species
CCGGUCUAAGAGGAUGGACGGCCACAUUGGAACUGAGACACGGUCCAGACAUCUACGGAUGGCAGCAGUUUCGAAUCAUUCACAAUGGGCGAAAGCCUGAUGGUGCGACGUCGCGUGGAGGAGGAAGGUCUUCGGAUUGUAAACUCCUGUCAUUGGGGAGCAAAAACAGGGUGCGUAGCCCUGCUUGAGUUAACUCAAAGAGGAAGCAGUGGCAAACUCCGUGCCAGCAGCCGCGGUAAUACGGAGACUGCGAGCGUUACUCGGAUUCACUGGGCGUAAAGGGUGCGCAGGCGGUUGGAUGUGUUGAGUGUGAAAUUUUAGGGCUUAACCCUAGAGCUGCACUCGAAACUGUCCGACUCGAGUUCCGGAGGGGUAAGCGGAAUUUCAGGUGUAGCAGUGAAAUGCGUAGAUAUCUGGAAGAACACCGAAAGCGAAGGCAGCUUACUGGAAGGGGACUGACGCUCAGGCACGAAAGCGUGGGGAGCGAAAGGGAUUAGAUACCCCUGUAGUCCACGCUGUAAACGUUGUACACUAGGUUUUGGGGCAUUCGAUCGUUUCAGAACCCAAGCUAACGCGAUAAGUGUACCGCCUGAGGACUACGGCCGCAAGGCUAAAACUUAAAGGAAUUGACGGGGACCCGCACAAGCGGUGGAGCAUGUGGCUUAAUUCGAUGAAACGCGAAGAACCUUACCUAGGCUUGACAUGUAGUGGGAGGCUGAUGAAAGUCGGCCGUCCUUCGGGACUGCUACACAGGUGCUGCAUGGCUGUCGUCAGCUCGUGUCGUGAGAUGUUCGGUUAAGUCCGGCAACGAGCGCAACCCCUCUUCUUAGUUGCCAGCGGGUAAAGCCGGGGACUCUAAGGAGACGAACUCGAUAUAGAGUGGGAAGGUGGGGAUGACGUCAGGUCAGCAUGGCCCUUACGUCUAGGGCUGCACACGUGCUACAAUGCUCGGUACAAAGGGAGGCGAGACCGCGAGGUGGAGCGAAUCCCCAAAGCCGGGCCCAGUUCGGAUUGAAGUCUGCAAUUCGACUUCAUGAAGCCGGAAUCGCUAGUAAUGGUAUAUCAGCUACGGUACCGUGAAUACGUUCCCGGGCCUUGUACACACCGCCCGUCAAGUCAUGAAAGCCGGUCUCACCCAAAGUAUGUGAAGCCAACCGCGAGGGGGCAGCAUCCUAAGGAGAGGUUGGUGAUUGGGACUAAGUCGUAACAAGGUAGCCCUAGGGGAACCUGGGGCUG